UACGUAGGGGGCAAGCGUUGUCCGGAUUUAUUGGGCGUAAAGAGCGUGUAGGCGGCUAGGUAGGUCCGUUGUGAAAACUCGAGGCUCAACCUCGAGACGCCGAUGGAAACCAUCUGGCUAGAGUCCGGAAGAGGAGAGUGGAAUUCCUGGUGUAGCGGUGAAAUGCGCAGAUAUCAGGAGGAACACCCGUAGCGAAGGCGGCACUCUGGGCCGAUACUGACACUGAGGAGCGAAAGCGUGGGGAGCGAACAGG
rnacentral:rRNA from 1 species